CGGAAAAUGCCUGAAUAAAGGUCUAUUUUGAUAGAAUAGUUUAUGUAAUAAAAUAAUUACUUUUCUGA
rnacentral:tRNA from 1 species